rnacentral:rRNA from 1 species
AUGAUGGGGCGCGGGAUGGCUGACGACGGCGUCUCGCGGCGGGCCACCUUCGGCGAGCGCAGCGGCGCGCUGCUGACGGAGGCGCAGGAGCUCGCCGCGCUCUGGGAGGCGGACGUCGGCGUCCUUGUCUUCGACGGCGCCGGCAGGCAGAUGGACUACUGCAGCCCCCACACCAGCUGGAGCGAGCUGAUGCAGCGCUACCAGAUCAUCACCAAAGGCAAGUUUGAGGGGAUAAAUCAUGAUGAUGACCGCCAUCAGCAGCUGUUGGCGGAAAUCACAAGGUUGAGGCGUGAGCGUGACCGCCUGGAGGCAAGCAUCAGGAGGCAGACCGGAGACGACCUGCCAUCCGCCGCAACCGCGGGGCUCGGCGAUCUGGAGCAGCAGGUAGAGCGUGCACUGGGUAAAGUCCGUGAGACGAAGGACAAACUGCUGGAGCAGCAGUUGGACGAGAUACACCACAGGGUGCACAUCCUGGAGGACCAGAACAGCUUCCUUCGCCACAUGAUGAGCGAGGAGGGGCGGCAACGUGCUGCUGUGGAGGCGUCGGCGGUGGUGGCGGAGCUCAUUGUGCCGAUGCAGCCGGCGACGCUGUUCGGGGGCUUCUUCCCGGAGGUGGAGGAGGAGGGGGCAUCCACAUCGCUCCGGCUGUGGCCGCGGCAGUUUCCUGGCUGUGGCAAUUAA